rnacentral:rRNA from 1 species
UGCGUAGGCGGUUUGUUAAGUCACUUGUAAAAGAUCUCAGCCCAACUGAGUAAGGCGAGUGAAACUGGCAGACUUGAAUACGGUAGAGGUAAGUGGAAUUCCAUGUGUAGCGGUGGAAUGCGUAGAUAUAUGGAGGAACACCAAUGGCGAAGGCAACUUACUGGGCCGGAAUUGACGCUGAGGCACGAAAGCGUGGGGAGCAAACAGGAUUAGGUACCCUGGUAGUCC